UUGGUUCUACCCGAAGGCGAUGCGCUAACCCGCAAGGGAGGCAGUCGACCACGGUAGGGUCAGCGACUGGGGUGAAGUCGGAACAAGGUAGCCGUAGGAACCUGCGGCUGGAUCACCUCCUU
rnacentral:rRNA from 1 species